UUGAGACAGAGUCUCGCUCUGUCACCCAAGAUGGAGUACAAUGGCAAGAUCUCAGCUUACUGCAACAGAGUGAGACUCCAUCUAAAAAAUAAAAAUAAAAAAUAAAUUAAAUUUCUAUUCAGGAGGACUGGUUAGAGCAUAAUUUUUAUCAAAUAAAUAAGGAAAUCAAGACAGGAGAAAGGAACCAUGGAAAGGAGAUAAAAGUACCUGCCCCCCAAAUCUUUUGUUUUAAUGACCUGAGCUAAACUGCUAUUUUUUUCAAUUAAUUAUUUAUUAAGAGGAGUUAAAGACUUAUUCUUAAAGUUAUCUUGAUUCCAAAAGCAUUUCACAAACUGGCAGAGAUAAUCUAAUACAAUUAGGACAGAACACAAGAAAAUAGGUGUCAC
rnacentral:lncRNA from 10 species